CCUACGGGAGGCAGCAGUCGAGAAUCAUUCACAAUGGGGGAAACCCUGAUGGUGCGACGCCGCGUGGGGGAAUGAAGGUCUUCGGAUUGUAAACCCCUGUCAUGUGGGAGCAAAUUAAAAAGAUAGUACCACAAGAGGAAGCGACGGCUAACUCUGUGCCAGCAGCCGCGGUAAUACAGAGGUCUCAAGCGUUGUUCGGAAUCACUGGGCGUAAGGCGUGCGGAGGCUGUUUCGUAAGUCGUGUGUGAAAGGCGCGGGCUCAACCCGCGGACGGCACAUGAUACUGCGAGACUAGAGUAAUGGAGGGGGAACCGGAAUUCUCGGUGUAGCAGUGAAAUGCGUAGAUAUCGAGAGGAACACUCGUGGCGAAGGCGGGUUCCUGGACAUUAACUGACGCUGAGGCACGAAGGCCAGGGGAGCGAAAGGGAUUAGAUACCCUGGUAGUC
rnacentral:rRNA from 1 species